UCGAGGAUCUUCGGCAAUGGGCGCAAGCCUGACCGAGCGACGCCGCGUGUGCGAUGAAGGCCUUCGGGUUGUAAAGCACUGUCGAGGGGGAGGAAGCCCGCAAGGGUUGACCUAUCCCUGGAGGAAGCACGGGCUAAGUUCGUGCCAGCAGCCGCGGUAAGACGAACCGUGCGAACGUUGUUCGGAUUCACUGGGCUUAAAGGGCGCGUAGGCGGCUUGCCAAGUCAGGGGUGAAAUCCUCCGGCUCAACCGGAGAAGUGCUUCUGAUACUGGCAAGCUGGAGGGAGGUAGGGGCAGAUGGAACUUCCGGUGGAGCGGUGAAAUGCGUAGAUAUCGGAAGGAACGCCGGUGGCGAAAGCGAUCUGCUGGACCUCUUCUGACGCUGAGGCGCGAAAGCCAGGGGAGCAAACGGGAUUAGAUACCCCUGUAGUCC
rnacentral:rRNA from 1 species